UACGUAGGGUGCGAGCGUUAAUCGGAAUUACUGGGCGUAAAGCGUGCGCAGGCGGCGCGUUAAGACAGGUGUGAAAGCCCCGAGCUUAACUUGGGAAUUGCGCUUGUGACUGGCGUGCUGGAGUGUGGCAGAGGGAGGUGGAAUUCCACGUGUAGCAGUGAAAUGCGUAGAGAUGUGGAGGAACACCGAUGGCGAAGGCAGCCUCCUGGGCCAGCACUGACGCUCAUGCACGAAGCGUGG
rnacentral:rRNA from 1 species